rnacentral:tRNA from 1 species
GCUCCUAUAGCUCAGUGGUAGAGCAGCGGUCCCAUGAUCCGCGGUCCGAGGUUCGAUUCCUCGUAGGAGAA